GACAGAGGUGCCAAGCGUUAUCCGGAUUCACUGGGCUUAAAGGGCGCGUAGGCGGGCUGCCAAGUCCGUGGUGAAAUCCCUCGGCUUAACCGAGGAACUGCCUCCCAAACUGCUUGGCUUGAGACCAGGAGAGGUGAGUGGAAUUCCCAGUGUAGCGGUGAAAUGCGUAGAUAUUGGGAGGAACACCAGUGGCGAAGGCGGCUCACUGGACUGGUACUGACGCUGAUGCGCGAAAGCGUGGGGAGCAAACAGG
rnacentral:rRNA from 1 species